GGGGAUUUAGCUCAGUGGUAGAGCGCUUGCCUAGCAAGCACAAAGUCCUGGGUUCAGUCCCCAGCUCCG
rnacentral:tRNA from 1 species